rnacentral:rRNA from 1 species
UACGUAGGGCGCAAGCGUUUGUCCGGAAUUAUUGGGCGUAAAGAGCUCGUAGGCGGUUUGUCGCGUCUGCUGUGAAAACGCGGGGCUCAACUCCGCGCCUGCAGUGGGUACGGGCAGACUAGAGUGCAGUAGGGGAGACUGGAAUUCCUGGUGUAGCGGUGGAAUGCGCAGAUAUCAGGAGGAACACCGGUGGCGAAGGCGGGUCUCUGGGCUGUAACUGACGCUGAGGAGCGAAAGCGUGGGUAGCGAACAGG